AACAAGGCGUACCUGCGGACCUGCGGAGGGAUCAUUACCGAGUUUACAACUCCCAAACCCCUGUGAACAUACCUAUAUGUUGCCUCGGCGGAUCAGCCCGCGCCCCGUAAAACGGGACGGCCCGCCGCAGGAUCCACAAACUCUGUUUUUAUUGUAACUUCUGAGUAACAAAACAAAUAAAUCAAAACUUUCAACAAUGGAUCU
rnacentral:misc_RNA from 1 species